rnacentral:tRNA from 1 species
UUAUCCCCUCCUAGAGUU